rnacentral:rRNA from 1 species
GAUGAACGCUGGCGGCGUGCUUAACACAUGCAAGUCGAACGGAGUGCCUUUGAAAGAGGAUUCGUCCAAUUGAUAAGGUUACUUAGUGGCGGACGGGUGAGUAACGCGUGAGGAACCUGCCUUGGAGUGGGGAAUAACACAGUGAAAAUUGUGCUAAUACCGCAUAAUGCAUGACCGGGGCAUCCCGGACAUGCCAAAGAUUUAUCGCUGAAAGAUGGCCUCGCGUCUGAUUAGCUAGUUGGCGGGUAACGGCCCACCAAGGCGACGAUCAGUAGCCGGACUGAGAGGUUGACCGGCCACAUUGGGACUGAGAUACGGCCCAG